rnacentral:rRNA from 1 species
GCGGCGGACGGGUGAGUAACACGUGGGUAACCUGCCUGUAAGACUGGGAUAACUCCGGGAAACCGGGGCUAAUACCGGAUGCUUGAUUGAACCGCAUGGUUCAAUCAUAAAAGGUGGCUUUUAGCUACCACUUGCAGAUGGACCCGCGGCGCAUUAGCUAGUUGGUGAGGUAACGGCUCACCAAGGCGACGAUGCGUAGCCGACCUGAGAGGGUGAUCGGCCACACUGGGACUGAGACACGGCCCAGACUCCUACGGGAGGCAGCAGUAGGGAAUCUUCCGCAAUGGACGAAAGUCUGACGGAGCAACGCCGCGUGAGUGAUGAAGGUUUUCGGAUCGUAAAACUCUGUUGUUAGGGAAGAACAAGUACCGUUCGAAUAGGGCGGCACCUUGACGGUACCUAACCAGAAAGCCACGGCUAACUACGUGCCAGCAGCCGCGGUAAUACGUAGGUGGCAAGCGUUGUCCGGAAUUAUUGGGCGUAAAGCGCGCGCAGGCGGUUUCUUAAGUCUGAUGUGAAAGCCCCCGGCUCAACCGGGGAGGGUCAUUGGAAACUGGGGAACUUGAGUGCAGAAGAGGAGAGUGGAAUUCCACGUGUAGCGGUGAAAUGCGUAGAGAUGUGGAGGAACACCAGUGGCGAAGGCGACUCUCUGGUCUGUAACUGACGCUGAGGCGCGAAAGCGUGGGGGAGCGAACAGGAUUAGAUACCCUGGUAGUCCACGCCGUAAACGAUGAGUGCU